rnacentral:rRNA from 1 species
UACGGAGGGUGCGAGCGUUGUCCGGAAUCACUGGGCGUAAAGGGCGCGUAGGCGGCGCGGGCAGUCAACGGUGAAAGCUCGGGGCUCAACUCCGAGUCGGCCGUCGAUACUCCCGCGCUCGAGCACUGUAGAGGCAGGUGGAAUUCCGGGUGUAGCGGUGGAAUGCGUAGAGAUCCGGAAGAACAUCGGUGGCGAAGGCGCUCUGCUGGACCAUAACUGACACUCAGGGACGAAAGCUAGGGGAGCGAAUGGG